CUACGUGCCAGCAGCCGCGGUAAUACGUAUGUCACGAGCGUUAUCCGGAUUUAUUGGGCGUAAAGCGCGUCUAGGUGGUUAUGUAAGUCUGAUGUGAAAAUGCAGGGCUCAACUCUGUAUUGCGUUGGAAACUAAAUAACUAGAGUACUGGAGAGGUAAGCGGAACUACAAGUGUAGAGGUGAAAUUCGUAGAUAUUUGUAGGAAUGCCGAUGGGGAAGCCAGCUUACUGGACAGAUACUGACGCUAAAGCGCGAAAGCGUGGGUAGCAAACAGGAUUAGAUACCCUGGUAGUCCACGCUGUAAACGAUGAUUACUAGGUGUUGGGGGUCGAACCUCAGCGCCCAAGCAAACGCGAUAAGUAAUCCGCCUGGGGAGUACGACCGCAAGGUUGAAACUCAAAGGAAUUGACGGGGGCCCGCACAAGCGGUGGAGCAUGUGGUUUAAUUCGAAGCAACGCGAAGAACCUUACCAGGUCUUGACAUCCCUCUGAUCGCUCUAGAGAUAGAGUUUUC
rnacentral:rRNA from 1 species